CAAUUAUUUAUAGCCUCUGGCUAUAGGAAAUUGUUAGUGGCAGACGGGUGAGUAAUGCGUAGGAAUCUACCUAGUAGUACGGAAUAGCCAUUAGAAAUGGUGGGUAAUACUGUAUAAUCCCCGAGGGGGAAAGAUUUAUCGCUAUUAGAUGAGCCUACGUUAGAUUAGCUAGUUGGUGAGGUAAUGGCUUACCAAGGCUAUGAUCUAUAGCUGGUCUGAGAGGACGAUCAGCCACACUGGAACUGAGAUACGGUCCAGACUCCUACGGGAGGCAGCAGUGGGGWWUWUUGGACAAUGGGCGAAAGCCUGAUCCAGCUAUGCCGCGUGAGUGAAGAAGGCCUUCGGGUUGUAAAACUCUUUCAAUAGGGAAGAUAAUGACGGUACCUAUA
rnacentral:rRNA from 1 species